UGGAAUUCUUCAGGGCUGAAGGGUUUUGAACUUGGAAUUCUUCAGGGGUAAAAGGUUUUGAGCUUGGAAUUCUUCAGGGGUAAAAAAUUUUGAGCUUGGAAUUCUUCAGGGGUAAAAGGUUUUGAGCUUGGAAUUCUUCAGGGGUAAAGGAUUUUGAGCUUGGAAUUUUGGAAAUCUUCAGGGGUAAAUAGUUUUGAGCUUGGAAUUCUUCAGGGGUAAAGGAUUUUGAGCUUGGAAUUUUGGAAUUCUUCAGGGGUAAAGGGUUUUGAGCUUGGAAUUCUUCAGGGGUAUAACCACGAAAAACAUGUAUCCUCGACAGGGGGUGUACGGAUAUUAAAUGGAAUAGCCCAUUUUAAUAA
rnacentral:lncRNA from 1 species